AGCGAACGCUGGCGGCAGGCUUAACACAUGCAAGUCGAGCGGGCCCUUCGUGGUCAGCUGCAGACGGGUGAGUAACACGUGGGAACGUACCCUUUGGUUCGGAAUAACGCUGUGAAACUAGCGCUAAUACCGGAUACGCCCUUUUGGUGAAAGGCUUGCUGCCGGAGGAUCGGCCCGCGUCUGAUUAGCUAGUUGGUGGGGUAAUGGCCUACCAAGGCGACGAUCAGUAGCUGGUCUGAGAGGAUGAUCAGCCACACUGGGACUGAGAAACGGCCCAGACUCCUACGGGAGGCAGCAGUGGGGAAUAUUGGACAAUGGGCGCAAGCCUGAUCCAGCCAUGCCGCGUGAGUGAUGAAGGCCUUAGGGUUGUAAAGCUCUUUUGUCCGGGACGAUAAUGACGGUACCGGAAGAAUAAGCCCCGGCUAACUUCGUG
rnacentral:rRNA from 1 species